CCCAUUUUAUUUUUGUGAGAAAAUUGCCUCGACAUUCUCCGCACUCGAAAAUCUUCGCUUAGCUGAGCCGAAUAUCGAGGUGAACUCCGAGGCUUGCGCGCCGUCUUCGACAACUGGUGGAUAUCAAAAUGUGGUUCAAAAGCCGUGCUUUAAAACACAACAUCCUGUCUAAAAGACAGUGUUUUACAGGGGUAUCAUUGACUCCCAAGGAAUAUGCAGAUACUUCAAAGGGCCUUCAACGCGAGAAAACUGCCAAUAACUACUGUCCUGAGUGUGGAAUCAGUCUGUUGGAAUGUGCAAUACGAAACCAGCAGACUGAUAUGAUUGAGUUGUUGCUUAAGAAUGGAGCUGAAAUUUUUCGAGAUGAUGACAUUGGAAGAGGCAUUGAGACAAUGGAUGCCUUAGUUAAGCUUGGUUAUAAAGAAGUUGAAGGCGAGUUUCUGUACACUUCAAGCUCUAUGGGGAGCUUCAACGUUUGGGCUACCUUUUCAGUCGAAAAUCGUGGGAUUGCUAUAUUUUAUGGUGGCAAGAGUCGAAUGAAUGUCCAGGGCAAGGAACCAGAUGUGUAUUUCGCAUGGGGCAAGGCUACUUUCAAACGGGAAGGAUCUGUGUUACAGAUCGAAGAUGGAUUGGAGACUUUCUUGCUGGAACCAGCAGAACCUCCAUAUUUGGGUAGCAAAGAGAUAUUUAACUGGUUUUGCAACCAGUUAAAUGAGGCUAUUGGUUUGGGUUCUGUGGUGGAUGAUGGCUUUGAUCUCUCGGAUAUAGAGAUGGCACUCAAAGCUUCACUGGACCAUUUUGGACAGCCAUCUUCACAGCCUUCAUUGGUGAUUAGUGACUUCUCACUAAUAGAGAGAGGAAUGAAAAGAUUCAGCAUCAGAACAUGCGGUGUCCCUUCUGCCGUGAGGUGGUGAAGAACUUUGCAAUUCCUAGGAUUUGAUUGCGAAAGGAAGAUAGCUUUUGAUGGGAAGGUUCGAAGAAAGAAAGGAAAUAUUUGGGAUAGAUGGAAAAGAGAGACGAGGUGCAGAUGGAUCAAGCAGCAUUUUGGAGGAAGCUGUAUUUUGCUAUUGAUGAUGAUGAAUUUGUUUGGUGUUGACUGUGGAGAUUUACUGCAUUUGGAUUUUAUUGAAAUAGGUACUCUUCCAGAUUAAAAUGAGAGUUGGGUUUGAAUUCCAACCCUCUUGAUUGAUGAGAGAGCGAGCAUACGCUUCUAACUGGUUGUAGUAUUUUGGUAGAUUAAAGUUAGAAUGCUACUAAGAAGCAUGAUGAUUAGCACGGAAAAUAUGAGAUGUAUAAGAACCACAGCUAUAAUGUGACAUGUAUAAGAGCCACAGCUAUAAUAUGACGUAUAUAAGAACCACAGCUAUAAGCAUUUCUUUCUUUUUUUGGAAAUAAAGG